GCGCCGACGCCAUUUGCCCUAACCUCUCUGCGUCGUCUUCUUCUUCCCAACCGGCGCCGCAACCAACCACCGCACGCCGGUGAUUAAGCCCUCUCAAAUCCCCUCUGCCACUUCUUCUUCUCUCUUCCUCUCUUCUCCCGAGCGCCGACGACCGGCCAUUUCCCUGUGCCCUAGCCUGAAGCCGACGGCCAUAGUCCAAUCUAUCUCCGGCGGUCACUGCCUUGCCUUCUUCUGCCCUAACGCUUGUGCCGUAGCCGCCUAGCACUGCCGACACCCACUGGCACAGCCGAGCUUUCCCCUCUUCAUGAGUUGCUGUCGCGCCACCGAAGGAACUUACCGUGCCCUAGAUUUGGCAUCGCAUCGCCAACGAUCUCUCUUCGGGUUGUGGACCAGAAGCUGAGCAUCCGAGCAUGCCCUAGCUUCUUGAUGUCGACGGCUGAUGCUUGUGUGGGAAUGCCACUGUUCGGUCAAGAGAGGGUUUCAAUACUCCGGCCAACCUCUUCCUCCUUUACUCCUUAACGCUACUGGAUCGCGUCGGAUCCCUAAUCGGGGCCUUACUUGGUGUUUAGAUUUGGUGGCACCAUUAUCAUCAGUGCUUUGGAGCACUGGAUUGUUUGGAGAUGAGAGGACGGACUUGAAUUCUUCGCUGGUUGGUGCGUUCUGGAUAAUGUCGGAUACAAGUUAGGCACCAACUUGACCUAAUGCCACCACUAGUAUCUGAUCUAAUCUUCUACUAUCACUGAAGAAAAAGGGAAGCUAGGACUUUGACGUGAGACGAGCAUCUCGAUGUCGGAUUGGACCGGAUACGAUACUCUUAUC